CUACGUGCCAGCAGCCGCGGUAAUACGUAGGUCCCGAGCGUUGUCCGGAUUUAUUGGGCGUAAAGCGAGCGCAGGCGGUUAGAUAAGUCUGAAGUUAAAGGCUGUGGCUUAACCAUAGUACGCUUUGGAAACUGUUUAACUUGAGUGCAAGAGGGGAGAGUGGAAUUCCAUGUGUAGCGGUGAAAUGCGUAGAUAUAUGGAGGAACACCAGUGGCGAAAGCGGCUCUCUGGCUUGUAACUGACGCUGAGGCUCGAAAGCGUGGGGAGCAAGCAGGAUUAGAUACCCUGGUAGUCCACGCCGUAAACGAUGAGUGCUAGGUGUUAGACCCUUUCCGGGGUUUAGUGCCGCAGCUAACGCAUUAAGCACUCCGCCUGGGGAGUACGACCGCAAGGUUGAAACUCAAAGGAAUUGACGGGGGCCCGCACAAGCGGUGGAGCAUGUGGUUUAAUUCGAAGCAACGCGAAGAACCUUACCAGGUCUUGACAUCCCUCUGACCGCUCUAGAGAUAGAGUUUUC
rnacentral:rRNA from 1 species